CGCCUCUUUAUCAAAAACAUCGCCUCCUGCAACUAAACUGAGUAUAGGAGGUCCAGCCUGCCCAGUGACUACGGGUUCAACGGCCGCGGUAUUUUGACCGUGCAAAGGUAGCGCAAUCACUUGUCUUUUAAAUAGAGACCUGUAUGAAUGGCCAAACGAGGGCUUAACUGUCUCCCCCUUCCAGUCAGUGAAAUUGAUCUAUCCGUGCAGAAGCGGGUAUAAAUAUACAAGACGAGAAGACCCUUUGGAGCUUAAGGUACAAAAUUCAACCACGUCAAGCAAAUCAACGAAAAGCAAGAACUUAGUGGAAUAUGGAGUUUUACCUUCGGUUGGGGCGACCGCGGAGGAAAAACAAGCCUCCGAGUGGAUUGGGCUAGAUCCCUAAAACCAAGAGAAACAUCUCUAAGCCGCAGAAAAUCUGACCAAAAAUGAUCCGACUAAUAAAGUCGAUCAACGAACCAAGUUACCCUAGGGAUAACAGCGCAAUCCUCUCCCAGAGUCCAUAUCGACGAGGGGGUUUACGACCUCGAUGUUGGAUCAGGACAUCCUAAUGGUGCAGCCGCUAUUAAGGGUUCGUUUGUUCAACGAUUAAAGUCCUACGUGAUCUGAGUUCAGACCGG
rnacentral:rRNA from 1 species